AUUGAACGCUGGCGGCAGGCCUAACACAUGCAAGUCGAGCGGAUGAAGGGAGCUUGCUCCUGGUUCCAGCGGCGGACGGGUGAGUAAUGCCUAGGAAUCUGCCUGGUAGUGGGGGAUAAUGACUGGAAACGGGCGCUACUACUGCCUAAGUCCUGCGGGUGAAAGUGGGGGAUCUUCGGACAUUUCGCUAUCAGAUGAGUCUAGGCCGGAUUAGCUAAUUGGUGGGGUAAAGGCCUACCAAGGGGACGAUCCGUAACUGGCCUGUGAGGAUGAUCAGUCACACUGGAGGGUGGACGCGGUCCAGGGGCCUACGAGAGGCAGCAGUGGGGAAUGUGGGACAGUAGUCGAAAGCCUGAUCCAGCCAUGGCGCGUGUGUGAAGAAAGUCUUCGGAGUGGGAAGCACGUUAAGUUGGGGGAAAGGGCAGUAAGUUAAUACCUAGCUGUUGUGACGUUACCAACAGGAGAAGCACCGGCUAACUUCGUG
rnacentral:rRNA from 1 species